UAAAAGGCCUUGGCUCUCUGUGAAUC
rnacentral:piRNA from 1 species